GGAAAAAUUAAACUCCUGAAAUAUACAAAAGGAAUUAGAAAAAUUAUAGGAGGGCUACGUGAAAAACACUCCUUCAAAAGCCAAAAUUAAGCUUCGUUUGGCUCCUUCAUCACACAUCAGUCUUUGACAAAAUCUAGGACUCCUCUUUGUGUUAAUCCGGCUUAGACAAGUUCAGCAGUUCAACUAAAUUCAGAUUCGCGCCAAGAAGUUUCACAUUAGGAUGAAUUGCUCUCUAACAAAGGUCUAGAGUUCAAAUCAUGUGGGCAAUGAAGGAGUGGGAGAGUUUCAUCGAGGGCAAGGGAAUGAAUGAGUGGGAGAAUUCCUUGUCAAAUUUCCAAUGAGAUUUCCAAUGUGCAGGUCUAGAGUUCAAAUCAUGUGGGCAAGGGAAUGCAAACACAUGAGAUUUUCAAUCCACGAAUAUUGAUAAAAAAUAUUUACAAAAUUAUGUCAUUUAUAAAAAAAUUGACUGUAAAUAUACAUGGCAAUUAAUUGAUAAUUAACCUGGUAGAUAUCGUAAGUAAUUACCUAUUAUAAUAUGUUAAUGUUUUAGUAGUUAAAUUUUUUUUUUUUUUACGUAGUCAAUAUAACCUAAUUCAUAGGAUUAGUUAAUUUGUAACUCAAUUGUCAUCUACGGUGUUGAAAGUCCCUUGAGAUUUUCUCUUCCCACCCUCACCCAGGGGAAGCGGAUGGGGUUCUCAGAAAUCCCCACCCGCUACCGUAACACUUAUAAUUACAUUAUAAAAAUUC